AUGAUAAAUGAGUUAUCUGUCAUCUUUACAUACUUCCUCUUAUGGCAGCUGAAUGCUGUCACUCAUUUCUUCAGAUGGAAUUCAGAUGUAAAAGAAAGAAGAAAUGAGAAGAAGUUAAAUGACUCCUUUAAAAGAAAGAAGAAUUUCAAGCAGCACUUGCACACUGAUUUCUAACUAUGCUUGUACAAAAUCCACACAUAAUAUUUUAUAUACCAUGUGAAUUUUUUGAAUUUUUUUUUUCUGAGCCAUCACUAUAUGCCGUCAUUUGGAAUAGAUAGGGUAAUUUGGAUACACAGGGAUAAAGAUGGAGCAGAACCAGAGGGAACAGUAA
rnacentral:lncRNA from 1 species